rnacentral:rRNA from 1 species
GACGAACGCUGGCGGCGUGCCUAAUACAUGCAAGUAGAACGCUGAAGAGAGGAGCUUGCUCUUCUUGGAUGAGUUGCGAACGGGUGAGUAACGCGUAGGUAACCUGCCUUGUAGCGGGGGAUAACUAUUGGAAACGAUAGCUAAUACCGCAUAACAAUGGAUGACACAUGUCAUUUAUUUGAAAGGGGCAAUUGCUCCACUACAAGAUGGACCUGCGUUGUAUUAGCUAGUAGGUGAGGUAAUGGCUCACCUAGGCGACGAUACAUAGCCGACCUGAGAGGGUGGUCGGCCACACUGGGACGGAGACACGGCACAGACUCCUACGGGAGGCAGCAGUAGGGAAUCUUGGGCAAUGGGGGCAACACUGACCGAGCAACGCCGCGUGAGUGAAGAAGGUUUUCGGAUCGUAAAGUUCUGUUGUAAGUCAAGAACGGGUGUGAGAGUGGAAAGUUCACACUGUGACGGUAGCUGACCAGAAAGGGACGGCUAACUACGUG